rnacentral:piRNA from 1 species
GCAUGAAUCCAUAGGCCUCUAGACCUCA